CGAUGGACCUACAAGUGUGCAGAGAAGUUGGCAUUAGUGACGAGCAUGAACGAAAACGAUAGAAGGACAAUUUGAGCCCAGAAGAAUGGCAGAUUUCCCUCCAAAAGGAAGGAACUGCUGUGGAAGGUCCAUUGUCCUCCCUCAGGAAACCCUUCCCUCGUGAAGAUCGCCUAGAAAUCGUUUA